CAGAGAGGUACUGCGUGCAUGCAACGGGAGAGGUGCUCAGCUUGUAGCGUAAAAGAAAGCCCACAGAUGAAAGGCACUGGUCUUUGUUGCAAAGCGUCAGUACUUAAGGACUGCUAGCCUGGGAGUGGAGAGAAUUCUCUGGAGCAUUACAUUCUCCUGUUUGGAGUGUGGACAAGAGUUUGGCAUUCUGCUUUUACAGAUCGCUGCCGCUCGCUCCUGGAGCGCAGGGGGGACGGCCAGACUCCCGCAUCUUUCAGCAAGAAGAAAGGAGCCAGCGGAGCGGACUAAUACGGACUUGUGUCGGGUGCCCUUGCCCUACAAAGGCUGCCUUUAAAAGAGAAACGCAGUGCUAUUUAAUGAGCUGUGAGAUGAGGCACUGCUGCUAACGCUCAGAUCCCAGGAUUCAUCGGCUAUUCAUUGUGCUUAAUGUACAUGUUUCUGCACCGUGCAUUUAGGAGAUCCCAGAGAAGAAUCCAAAACGGCUG
rnacentral:lncRNA from 1 species